rnacentral:ncRNA from 1 species
AUUCCGGGGGAGCAGGUGAGACCUGCUGAGAGGAUGAUAGAUCAUCGACCCUAUGAACCUGUACGGAUAAUGCCGGCGAAGGGAGGAAAAAUAAUA